rnacentral:rRNA from 1 species
AUUGAACGCUGGCGGCAUGCCUUACACAUGCAAGUCGAACGGCAGCGGACCUUCGGGUGCCGGUGAGUGGCGAACGGGUGAGUAAUAUAUCGGAACGUACCUUUCAGUGGGGGAUAACGUAGCGAAAGUUACGCUAAUACCGCAUAUUCUGUGAGCAGGAAAGCAGGGGAUCGCAAGACCUUGCGCUGAUUGAGCGGCCGAUAUCAGAUUAGCUAGUUGGUGAGGUAAAGGCUCACCAAGGCGACGAUCUGUAGCGGGUCUGAGAGGAUGAUCCGCCACACUGGAACUGAGACACGGUCCAGACUCCUACGGGAGGCAGCAGUGGGGAAUUUUGGACAAUGGGCGCAAGCCUGAUCCAGCCAUGCCGCGUGAGUGAAGAAGGCC